CAACAUCACCGAAACCCGUAGCAAUAUUCGCAAGCUGCAGCCUUAGCCUUAAGUCCCAAGUAACCUUCAACAAGCACCUGAAAGAUCUACCCAAAUACUUAGCCCACUCAGCCGGCAUUCCGCCACCCGUCAACCAAACCGAAAACUGCGACUGAUCACCCCUCGCCGCCACCUCAGCACGGUAAAACCUCGCCAGCUCAAUCAGCGUGGAAGGCUGUAA
rnacentral:lncRNA from 1 species